CGGAAACACGGUGCCGGAUAACGUCCGGCGGGGGCGACCCCAGGGAAAGUGCCACAGAAAGCAGACCGCUCCGCUUGCGGAGUAAGGGUGAAAGGGUGGGGUAAGAGCCCACCGCGGACAUGGCGACAUGGACGGCACGGCAAACCCCACCGGGAGCAAGACCGAAUAGGGACGACACGGGCGCGCAAGCGUCCAGCCGGUUUCCAGGCGCGUCGUCCGGGUGGGUUGCACGAGGCUGCGCGCAAGCGCAGUCCCAGAUGAAUGGCUGCCACGUUUCGUCUCCUCGGAGGCGGAG
rnacentral:misc_RNA from 1 species